rnacentral:tRNA from 1 species
GCUGGCGUAGCUCAGGCGGUAGAGCAGCUGAUUUGUAAUCAGCGGGUCGGGGGUUCAAGUCCCUCCGCCAGCUCCA